ensembl:lncRNA
GGGGGGCACAUUGUUGACCAUCACCAUGACGACCUGAUGAAAGCCCUGCCACCCUAGCCUUUGUUUUACGUUGUGCGGCGGGGUGGGAGAUUUCAGGAGUUCUGUGACAGACUCUGGCAGCAUCCCUGCGUUCAGGCCCACUAAUCCAAGACUAGGUUAAAGUGUUUCACAUGUUUUUGUCCUGCUUCAGAUCAGGGUUUGGGGGUGGGGGGUGGGGGGGCACUUUAAAAUCACAAACACAAAACGCCUCAAUAAAAACAUCUUUUCGUUUCACUGCGUUCAGUCACAGUGAGGUUAUAUCAGUUUAAAGAUGCCAGCUUUUCAUUUUUAGAGAUCAGAAAUGUUAAGCCAAUUUCUAGUUCCAGCCUCCCAUGGACUCUUUGUUCCUAGGCUUUCUGCUCAUAUUCUAGGCACAUAACUCAUUCCAGAAGAUUCCUCCAGAGCUCAGUGUUUCUGGUGAAGCUAUUAAAGUUAUUAACUGUGUUAUAACCUGUAUUCUCAGGCCUUAAUGGAUAGCUGAAGCAGAGGCUAUCCUACAAAGCUACCUGCCCUUCAUCUCUCUAGGAUUAGGCCAGCUUACAUCUAAUAUAUCCAAAGUUAACAUUUGUAUUAACAUCAUCCAUACCAAAACCCCUCUUUGUGCAGAUUAACCUCAUAAUUCACCUGCUCCAGAGAUGCUUCAGGGUCAUGUUUGCGAAACGCUGAGAGUUUUUCUGUAAAUCAGAGGAAAAGUGUAAACGCACAGACGUAAGAGCUGCAGCUGGGAGGUGUGUGUGUUCCUGGUGUGUGUGAGUUAUGGGCGCUCGCUGAGGCCGGUAGGACGGCGGUGUCUACACACACCAGUGAUCUACGAACUGUUUCAGGGAAAAUGAGACAAGCAGUGACCUCACCGAGGAGGAAUGUAUCAAGAGUGACCAUCUUCCCCCUCCGAUGAGUAGCAUCAGAAGGGUAGGAGGAGAAUAGGGGGGGGGGGGCAGUAACGAGUGGAGGAGUAACACAGUGAUGUAGAUCUCCUCCUGCCCCUGCACUUGUACUCACACGGCAGGCACUCUAUAUGAAACAACCCCUGACCGCCUCUGGAGGGGGAAUUAGACUCCCUGAUAACGUAGGCCUACGUAGGCUGGCUAUCUGGAUACUCUACAUGGAGAUGCUCCAUAGAUUGGAGUGCAUGAUGUCAUGUCAUAUAAUUCUAUUCCACGGCAAUAGCUAGUGUUCUUGUCAUGGCGAGCAACAAAGAUGUGGGUUAGCAGGAUGGGGAGUUAGCAAGAGAGGUGGAGGAUGGGUUAAAUACUACCUCUACUCUGUUUUAAAGGGUACAGUGGUAGUUCAGGGGGGACGUAUUUAUGGGAGGAAGAGUUAUUGGCACUCCCUGGACUACACAGACUGGGAGUGGAGUGUGGAAGGGAAGUGAAGUGAGGGAUGGACGGUAUGGCGUGUAAAUAAGGGAAGGCAUGCAUGGGUUAAAUGGUGGAGGACCUCUUCACGAGGAGAAACGCACACAUUGGCAGCUGGCUGGAUUUACGCACACACACACACACACACAGACACACACACACACACACACACACACACACACACACACACACUACUUAAGCCCACUGUGGAGUAGUCUUUGUCAAGCAAGAGUCUUUCAGAUGGGACAUGGCGCGAGAGGGACGAGAGGGGCGAGAGGGGCGAGUGGGGCCGUGAAUGCAAAGGGGAGAGAGGAGACUGGAGAGUCCCUCACAACACAUGGGCAGUAUGUGUGACUGUAUGUUUCCUUAAACGAGGGACAGACAGAGACACUCCAAAUAUCAAAAGGAAAUGUAAAGUGUUAAUAGUGGAUUGCUGAUGUGUUGUUGAUGUGUUACUUUUAAUAGUGGAUGACUGAGGUGUUUGGGCAUGGCACCUUCAUUAAAGCAUGUGAAUGAAUUGAAUUGAAAGCCUUCAUUGUCAUUGUAUUAGCAUUCAACGGAAUUUGGAAUGUAUCCAAGACAACUGUUCUUGCCUUCAUUGACUGUGUUGUGUUGGAUCCAGGUAUGGUGGAGAAGGCAUCGGCCUGAAGCUUAGAGUGAAGGGACUAUAAUGAGGUGAGGAGCCUAGACAGCUUAGAGGGAUAUGAUGAAGAAGACAGUGGAGCACAGAGGUGAUGUGCAAUAAGAGGGAUCAGUCCAGGGCUGUUUGGGAUUGACAGGUGUGAAGCAACUCAAGGGUUAAUCAACUGAUCAAGGGGAGAGUCAUGGAAAGUCCUGUAAGGAUGGCUGCGAGUUAAAAUGGCUUGGCUGGGAGAAAGCAGGGAAAUGGAAAGGGAUUGGAUAGGAUGCAACAGGUUCGGAGAGAGGCAAGGUGGAUGGGGUUGAGAUGGAGGGACAGGGCAAUGUCAGUUCUGUAGCCCAUCAGUGUUGUUCAUAAACCGCACGCAAGAACAGCUCAGGGUACCUAAGGUCAGGGUCAGGGUACCUUGGGUCAGAUCAGGGUACCAUGGGUCAGGUCAGCUUCAGGGUACAACAGGUCAGGGUACCUUGGG